rnacentral:rRNA from 1 species
UUUGGUUAAGUUAGAAAGGGCGCACGGUGGAUGCCUUGACACUAGGAGUCGAUGAAGGACGGGACUAACGCCGAUAUGCUUCGGGGAGCUGUAAGUAAGCUUUGAUCCGAAGAUUUCCGAAUGGGGAAACCCACCAUACGUAAUGGUAUGGUAUCCUUAUCUGAAUACAUAGGGUAAGGAAGACAGACCCAGGGAACUGAAACAUCUAAGUACCUGGAGGAAGAGAAAGCAAAUGCGAUUUCCUGAGUAGCGGCGAGCGAAACGGAACAUAGCCCAAACCAAGAGGCUUGCCUCUUGGGGUUGUAGGACAUUCUAUACGGAGUUACAAAGGAACGAGGUAGACGAAGCGACCUGGAAAGGUCCGUCGUAGAGGGUAACAACCCCGUAGUCGAAACUUCGUUCUCUCUUGAAUGUAUCCUGAGUACGGCGGAACACGUGAAAUUCCGUCGGAAUCUGGGAGGACCAUCUCCCAAGGCUAAAUACUCCCUAGUGAUCGAUAGUGAACCAGUACCGUGAGGGAAAGGUGAAAAGCACCCCGGAAGGGGAGUGAAAGAGAUCCUGAAACCGUGUGCCUACAAAUAGUCAGAGCCCGUUAACGGGUGAUGGCGUGCCUUUUGUAGAAUGAACCGGCGAGUUACGAUCCCGUGCGAGGUUAAGCUGAAGAGGCGGAGCCGCAGCGAAAGCGAGUCUGAAUAGGGCGUUUAGUACGUGGUCGUAGACCCGAAACCAGGUGAUCUACCCAUGUCCAGGGUGAAGUUCAGGUAACACUGAAUGGAGGCCCGAACCCACGCACGUUGAAAAGUGCGGGGAUGAGGUGUGGGUAGCGGAGAAAUUCCAAUCGAACCUGGAGAUAGCUGGUUCUCCCCGAAAUAGCUUUAGGGCUAGCCUUAAGUGUAAGAGUCUUGGAGGUAGAGCACUGAUUGGACUAGGGGUCCUCAUCGGAUUACCGAAUUCAGUCAAACUCCGAAUGCCAAUGACUUAUCCUUAGGAGUCAGACUGCGAGUGAUAAGAUCCGUAGUCAAAAGGGAAACAGCCCAGACCGCCAGCUAAGGUCCCAAAGUGUGUAUUAAGUGGAAAAGGAUGUGGAGUUGCUUAGACAACUAGGAUGUUGGCUUAGAAGCAGCCACCAUUUAAAGAGUGCGUAAUAGCUCACUAGUCGAGUGACUCUGCGCCGAAAAUGUACCGGGGCUAAAUACACCACCGAAGCUGCGGAUUGAUACCGNNNNNNNNNNNNNNNNNNNNNNNNNNNNNNNNNNNNNNNNNNNNNNNNNNNNNNNNNNNNNNNNNNNNNNNNNNNNNNNNNNNNNNNNNNNNNNNNAUAAAGGCUGAGCUGUGAUGGGGAAGCUCCUUAUGGAGCGAAGUCUUUGAUUCCCCGCUGCCAAGAAAAGCUUCUAGCGAGAUAAAAGGUGCCUGUACCGCAAACCGACACAGGUAGGCGAGGAGAGAAUCCUAAGGUGUGCGAGAGAACUCUGGUUAAGGAACUCGGCAAAAUGACCCCGUAACUUCGGGAGAAGGGGUGCUUUCUUAACGGAAAGCCGCAGUGAAUAGGCCCAAGCGACUGUUUAGCAAAAACACAGCUCUCUGCGAAGCCGUAAGGCGAAGUAUAGGGGGUGACACCUGCCCGGUGCUGGAAGGUUAAGGAGAGGGGUUAGCGUAAGCGAAGCUCUGAACUGAAGCCCCAGUAAACGGCGGCCGUAACUAUAACGGUCCUAAGGUAGCGAAAUUCCUUGUCGGGUAAGUUCCGACCCGCACGAAAGGUGUAACGAUUUGGGCACUGUCUCAACCAGAGACUCGGUGAAAUUAUAGUACCUGUGAAGAUGCAGGUUACCCGCGACAGGACGGAAAGACCCCGUGGAGCUUUACUGUAGCCUGAUAUUGAAUUUUGGUACAGUUUGUACAGGAUAGGCGGGAGCCAUUGAAACCGGAGCGCUAGCUUCGGUGGAGGCGCUGGUGGGAUACCGCCCUGACUGUAUUGAAAUUCUAACCUACGGGUCUUAUCGACCCGGGAGACAGUGUCAGGUGGGCAGUUUGACUGGGGCGGUCGCCUCCUAAAGUGUAACGGAGGCGCCCAAAGGUUCCCUCAGAAUGGUUGGAAAUCAUUCGUAGAGUGCAAAGGCAUAAGGGAGCUUGACUGCGAGACCUACAAGUCGAGCAGGGACGAAAGUCGGGCUUAGUGAUCCGGUGGUUCCGCAUGGAAGGGCCAUCGCUCAACGGAUAAAAGCUACCCCGGGGAUAACAGGCUUAUCUCCCCCAAGAGUCCACAUCGACGGGGAGGUUUGGCACCUCGAUGUCGGCUCAUCGCAUCCUGGGGCUGUAGUCGGUCCCAAGGGUUGGGCUGUUCGCCCAUUAAAGCGGUACGCGAGCUGGGUUCAGAACGUCGUGAGACAGUUCGGUCCCUAUCCGUCGUGGGCGUAGGAAAUUUGAGAGGAGCUGUCCUUAGUACGAGAGGACCGGGAUGGACGCACCGCUGGUGUACCAGUUGUUCUGCCAAGGGCAUAGCUGGGUAGCUAUGUGCGGAAGGGAUAAGUGCUGAAAGCAUCUAAGCAUGAAGCCCCCCUCAAGAUGAGAUUUCCCAUAGCGUAAGCUAGUAAGAUCCCUGAAAGAU